rnacentral:rRNA from 1 species
GACGAACGCUGGCGGCGUGCUUAACACAUGCAAGUCGAACGGAAAGGCCCUGCUUGCAGGGUACUCGAGUGGCGAACGGGUGAGUAACACGUGGGUGAUCUGCCCUGCACUUCGGGAUAAGCCUGGGAAACUGGGUCUAAUACCGGAUAGGAGCCAUUUUUAGUGUGAUGGUUGGAAAGUUUUUUCGGUGUAGGAUGAGCUCGCGGCCUAUCAGCUUGUUGGUGGGGUAAUGGCCUACCAAGGCGGCGACGGGUAGCCGGCCUGAGAGGGUGGACGGCCACAUUGGGACUGAGAGACGGCCCAGACUCCUACGGGAGGCAGCAGUGGGGAAUAUUGCACAAUGGGCGCAAGCCUGAUGCAGCGACGCCGCGUGGGGGAUGACGGCCUUCGGGUUGUAAACUCCUUUCGCUAGGGACAAAGCUUUUUGUGACGGUACCUAGAUAAGAAGCACCGGCUAACUACGUG